rnacentral:rRNA from 1 species
UACGAAGGUGGCUAGCGUUGUUCGGAAUUACUGGGCGUAAAGCGCACGUAGGCGGAUUUGUAAGACAGGGGUGAAAGGCCUGGGCUCAACCCGGGAAUUGCCUUUGAAACUGAAGGUCUAGAGUCCGAGAGAGGUUAGCGGAAUUCCCAGUGUAGAGGUGAAAUUCGUAGAUAUUGGGAAGAACACCAGUGGCGAAGGCGGCUAUCUGGCUCGGUACUGACGCUGAGGCGCGAAAGCGUGGGGAGCAAAAAGG